rnacentral:rRNA from 1 species
UACGUAGGGGGCUAGCGUUGUCCGGAAUCAUUGGGCGUAAAGCGCGUGUAGGCGGUCCGGUAAGUCCGCCGUGAAAGUCCAGGGCUCAACCCUGGAAUGCCGGUGGAAACUGUCGGGCUGGAGUCCGGAAGAGGCGAGUGGAAUUCCUGGUGUAGCGGUGAAAUGCGCAGAUAUCAGGAGGAACACCAAUGGCGAAGGCAGCUCGCUGGGACGGUACUGACGCUGAGACGCGAAAGCGUGGGGAGCAAACAGG